rnacentral:rRNA from 1 species
CCGGCGCACGGGUGAGUAACGCGUAUGCAACCUGCCUAUAAGAGGGGGAUAGCCUUUCGAAAGAAAGAUUAAUACCGCAUAAUACUAUUUACCUGCAUGGGUAAAUAGUUAAACUAUUUGGCUUAUAGAUGGGCAUGCGUUCCAUUAGAUAGUUGGUGAGGUAACGGCUCACCAAGUCAGCGAUGGAUAGGGGUUCUGAGAGGAAGGUCCCCCACACUGGUACUGAGACACGGACCAGACUCCUACGGGAGGCAGCAGUGAGGAAUAUUGGUCAAUGGGCGAGAGCCUGAACCAGCCAAGUCGCGUGAAGGAUGAAGGUCUUAUGGAUUGUAAACUUCUUUUAUAAGGGAAUAAAAAAGAUCACGUGUGGUCUAUUGCAUGUACCUUAUGAAUAAGCAUCGGCUAACUCCGUGCCAGCAGCCGCGGUAAUACGGAGGAUGCGAGCGUUAUCCGGAUUUAUUGGGUUUAAAGGGUGCGUAGGCGGUUUAUUAAGUCAGUGGUGAAAGUUUUCGGCUCAACCGGAAAAUUGCCAUUGAAACUGAUAGACUUGAGUGUAAACGAGGUAGGCGGAAUUCGUGGUGUAGCGGUGAAAUGCUUAGAUAUCACGAAGAACUCCAAUUGCGAAGGCAGCUUACUAGGCUACAACUGACGCUGAAGCACGAAAGCGUGGGG